GAAACACAACGGUUCAAAUAGGACACUGACACUACCACGGCCCACCUCGGCGUUGUGUUUAUUAGCGAAGACGAAAAACAAACUCAGCACGUGGUCGUUUGGGUAAAGCAGCGGCUUGUGUGUGUCUGUGAUGAUGUGCUCGAUGUACCAAUUUCUCAAAUUGUAAAGACGUCCGUUUCACCUUCAAAGGCAAGUGUCCGGAAACAAAAUCAAGUGCAAAGUAAAAAGAAACGGAGAAAAAUGGAGUCAUCGGAUGAUGAAAACAGUGAGGCGGAGAAUGCAUGAGAUAAAUAUUAUAAAUUGGCUUACUUAAUAUAUGAAGUAUAAAAAAAAGUCUAAUGUAAACUCAAAUAAUAUUACAUGUACUUUAAAAAACAUGUUAAAUAUCUUUACUGCAAGCAUAAACUUAUUGUUUAUGAGAAAAAAUAAAUAUGUUAGUCUGUAAUUACUUCA